rnacentral:lncRNA from 1 species
UGAGGAAAAGAGAAGUUAUCACUGUGCUAAGCAAUUUGUCUAUAAGGUAGUGAAAGGGAAAAACCUGUUAUAAGAUGGCCAACAGGACUGAUAGGGAAAUUCCAGUCCUGGACCGAAGACCGAAGACUCUCCUUCCGGGUUCUUCUUCCUCCCUGCUUGCCGCGCAGACCAAAUUACUAUUAACGCGGAAUGCGGAAGUAACACUAUAAAUCGUUCCCUCUGCUCAUGCUCUUGGGGCUCAGACCUCUGGAGGGUGAUCUCCUCUGACCCUGCCAGUGUGAAAUAAACCUCCUGCCUUCCAAGAUCUCCAAGCGCCCUUUGGUUCUUCCGCUGGCUGAUCCAGACCAGGUUCCGUAACGUUUGGUUCCCUGACCCAGAACCCAACCACGCUGGCCCGUUGUUGCCACCCGUUUGGGAAAAUGGCGAGGCGGUGAUGAAGGAGGAAUCACGAAAGAAAAGGUGUGACCUACCUGAAUGUCGGCAGUCUCCUGCCCGGUUGCCUCAGGCCCGCCCUGCUCCGCCGUUCCCGCCGGACUCGAGGAGUCCCGUUCCCGCCGGACUCGGAUACCAGUAAGAUUAUGGACACUAUCAUUGCAAAGGAAACUGCCUGGCUGUUUGUGGGCCCAAGCUGAACUCCAGAAAGGCAGUUUAACUUCCACAGAUGAUUUCGUUCUGUCUGCACCAGAGGAGGCUUUACAUCUAGAAGCGGUUUUUGAGAUUUUCUGGAAUAUUGUUCCCCACCCCAAACGCCAUCUACUAAAUAAGGAAACAGCCUCAGAGAGGUAAAGAACUUGCCUGAGAGCACACGCCCAGUCCACUUGCAGAACCCAGAUGAGCCAUGAUGGGAAGCCAGCUCUCCUGACCUGGAGCUGAGGGUCUGUUUCCUUCAUCUGUUGACUCUCGCCAGAGGAAGAAAUUAAAACAAAUAGGAAAAACAACAGUCUCAAGGUCCCAGUGGGUUUUCACUUGAUACGACUACUUGCUCAGAAGGCUUAGGCAGGCAGGUGUUUUGUUAAAGCAGUUGAUCUCUAGACAUUUAUGUGAAAUUAUAAAAUAGGGCAAAUCAUAUACAUUCUAAGAUUCAUACAGAGAUAUUGGGAAAUGAUUAGUCAUUGUGCAAAGUAUUUUACUAUAGGUAUUCCUUUGGUUUGCUAGUAAAAAUUAUAUACAUAGGAGUCUUUAGAAAUAUAUAUAUAUACAAACAUCUCUCUGUAUUUAUAUAUGGGUGUGAAUCUAUCUGUCUAUCUAUGUGUCUAUCUACAUACCUAUCAAGAUUUAUGUACAACGUUUCCAGGAACCUACUGCAUCAAGUGAAGCCUGUUCAUAGACCAGGAUUUUAUAACUUGCUCUAGCGGUGUUGAAAGGCUCAAUGAAAGUUUUUGAUUUUCAUGCUGAACUCCACAGCAAUUUACGGCAGGUCAGUUAUGGUUUAUCUCACAGAGUUCCAGCUGAGUGUGUGACUGAGCUGGCAAACAUGGGACUUGGGUAGGAAAUAGGAG